rnacentral:rRNA from 1 species
AAUCAACGCUGGCGGCGUGCCUAACACAUGCAAGUCGCACGAGAAAGGGACUUCGGUCCUGAGUAAAGUGGCGCACGGGUGAGUAACACGUGACUAAUCUACCCUCGAGUGGGGAAUAACCUAGGGAAACCUGGGCUAAUACCGCAUAACACUUACGAGUCAAAGCAGCAAUGCGCUUGGGGAGGAGGUCGCGGCAGAUUAGUUAGUUGGCGGGGUAAUGGCCCACCAAGACGANGAUCUGUAUCCGGCCUGAGAGGGCGCACGGACACACUGGAACUGAAACACGGUCCAGACUCCUACGGGAGGCAGCAGUGGGGAAUUUUGCGCAAUGGGGGAAACCCUGACGCAGCAACGCCGCGUGGAGGAUGAAAUCCCUUGGGAUGUAAACUCCUUUCGAUCGGGAAGAUAAUGACGGUACCGAGAGAAGAAGCCCCGGCUAACUUCGUGCC